rnacentral:rRNA from 1 species
AUUGAACGCUGGCGGCAGGCCUAACACAUGCAAGUCGAGCGAGCGGCGGACGGGUGAGUAAUGCCUGGGAAUUGCCCAGUCGAGGGGGAUAACAGUUGGAAACGACUGCUAAUACCGCAUACGAUUUGAUUUCCCAGGUGGGGUUAGCUAGUGGGUGAGGUAAUGGCUCACCAAGGAGACGAUCCCUAGCCGGUCUGAGAGGAUGAUCGUCCACACGGGGACUGAGACACGGCCCAGACUCCUACGGUAGGCAGCAGUGGGGAAUAUUGCGCAAUGGGCGAAAGCCUGAUCGAGCCAUGCCGCGUGUGUGAAGAAGGCCUUCGGAUUGUAAAGCACUGUCAGUGAGGAGGCGUUACCCGACGAAGAAGCACCGGCUAACUACGUGCCAGCAGCCGCGGUAAUAC